rnacentral:miRNA from 1 species
UUCACUCGAUCAGCGCUGUCUU